UACGGGGGGGGUAAGCGUUGUUCGGAAUUACUGGGCGUAAAGGGCUCGUAGGCGGCCAACUAAGUCAGACGUGAAAUCCCUCAGCUUAACUGGGGAACUGCGUCUGAUACUGGAUGGCUUGGAUCCGGGAGAGGGAUGCGGAAUUCCAGGUGUAGCGGUGAAAUGCGUAGAUAUCUGGAGGAACACCGGUGGCGAAGGCGGCAUCCUGGACCAAUUCUGACGCUGAGGAGCGAAAGCCAGGGGAGCAAACGGG
rnacentral:rRNA from 1 species